UGGGACCUAAUGAAACUUAAAAGCUUUUGCACAACAAAGGAAACUAUAAAACACAAAAACAACCCACAGAAUUGGAGAAAGUAUUUGCAAAUGAUACAAUCAACAAGGAAUUAAUGUCCAAAAUUUACGGACAACUCAUGUAGCUCAAUAU